CGCGCCUAACACAUGCAAGUCGAACGAGCGAGAGAGAGCUUGCUUUCUCAAGCGAGUGGCGAACGGGUGAGUAACGCGUGAGGAACCUGCCUCAAAGAGGGGGACAACAGUUGGAAACGACUGCUAAUACCGCAUAAGCCCACGGGUCGGCAUCGACCAGAGGGAAAAGGAGCAAUCCGCUUUGAGAUGGCCUCGCGUCCGAUUAGCUAGUUGGUGAGGUAAUGGCCCACCAAGGCGACGAUCGGUAGCCGGACUGAGAGGUUGAACGGCCACAUUGGGACUGAGACACGGCCCAGACUCCUACGGGAGGCAGCAGUGGGGAAUAUUGCACAAUGGGGGAAACCCUGAUGCAGCGACGCCGCGUGGAGGAAGAAGGUCUUCGGAUUGUAAACUCCUGUUGUUGAGGAAGAUAAUGACGGUACUCAACAAGGAAGUGACGGCUAACUACGUGCCAGCAGCCGCGGUAAAACGUAGGUCACAAGCGUUGUCCGGAAUUACUGGGUGUAAAGGGAGCGCAGGCGGAAAGACAAGUUGGAAGUGAAAUCUAUGGGCUCAACCCAUAAACUGCUUUCAAAACUGUUUUUCUUGAGUAGUGCAGAGGUAGGCGGAAUUCCCGGUGUAGCGGUGGAAUGCGUAGAUAUCGGGAGGAACACCAGUGGCGAAGGCGGCCUACUGGGCACCAACUGACGCUGAGGCUCGAAAGUGUGGGUAGCAAACAGGAUUAGAUACCCUGGUAGUCCACAC
rnacentral:rRNA from 1 species